rnacentral:rRNA from 1 species
UGGGGAAUUUUGGACAAUGGGCGCAAGCCUGAUCCAGCAAUGCCGCGUGCAGGAUGAAGGCCUUCGGGUUGUAAACUGCUUUUGUACGGAGCGAAAAGGUCUGCCCUAAUACGGUGGGCUCAUGACGGUACCGUAAGAAUAAGCACCGGCUAACUACGUGCCAGCAGCCGCGGUAAUACGUAGGGUGCGAGCGUUAAUCGGAAUUACUGGGCGUAAAGCGUGCGCAGGCGGUUAUAUAAGACAGAUGUGAAAUCCCCGGGCUCAACCUGGGACCUGCAUUAGUGACUGUAGAGCUAGAGUACGGUAGAGGGGGAUGGAAUUCCGCGUGUAGCAGUGAAAUGCGUAGAUAUGCGGAGGAACACCGAUGGCGAAGGCAAUCCCCUGGGCCUGCACUGACGCUCAUGCACGAAAGCGUGGGGAGCAAACA